rnacentral:sRNA from 1 species
AGUUUUGUGAGGUGCCCCCGCCACGUCACUAUGGCCUCUGCCAGCCAGCCUGGACCCCUGAGAGGCAGGAGUUACAGGCUGAAGGUCUGACACAAGCAUUAAUGAGAUGCUCCCCUCGAAGAAUAGUCUUGUUUCUUCUAAGGACUGAUUCUCACCCCGGCUUUGGCUCUCCUAAUUUUAGAGGGUCCUCCAAAUGCAGUGAGGUUAGGAAGGACGUCUGCGCUCAGAUCAAGAAUCCAGUUACCUCAAAGCUCCCCAACUUCCACCUCCGCAGAGCUAUGAUGUCAUGGCAGGCACGCCAGAGGCCGAUGGAUGCAAAAGUGGUUUUCUGCUUUCGAUGAUGCAAUCAUUCAGCGACAGUGGCGGGCAAACCCCUCCCGGGGCGGGGGAGGUGUGAGCUUCACGAAGGAGGUUGAUACCAACGUGGCCACCGGCGCCCCUCCACGCCGCCAACGAGUCCCCGGGCGUGCGUGCCCUCGGAGGGAGCCAAUCCGCCGCCGGCGUGGGGCCCGGCCCGGCGGAGGUGGUGCUGGUAUCUGCGUCACCACCGCCCCUCCCAGCACUGACGGGCCUGAGGGAUGACAAGUUGACGCCCCUUUCGUCAUCACCUGGUCUAGGAGGGACGCCCGGGGAGACAGUACGUCACUGCUCUGCGCCGGAAGACCCUAUUUUCAGGUUCUCUUCCCUCCAUUCCUACCCCUUCCCCGGUACCAUAAAAUCCUGGGAUAUGAGCCGGAAGAGGCAUCAUCUGAUCCCGGAGACCCUUGGAGUUAAGAGGCGGCGGAAGCGAGGGCCUGUGGAGUCGGAUCCUCUUCGGGGUGAGCCAGGGUCGGCGCGCGCGGCUGUCUCAGAACUCAUGCAGCUGUUCCCGCGAGGCCUGUUUGAGGACGCGCUGCCGCCCAUCGUGCUGAGGAGCCAAGUGUACAGCCUCGUGCCUGACAGGACCGUGGCCGACCGGCAGCUGAAGGAGCUUCAAGAGCAGGGGGAGAUCAGAAUCGUCCAGCUGGGCUUCGACUUGGAUGCCCAUGGAAUUAUCUUCACUGAGGACUACAAGACCAGAGUCCUCAAAGCCUGUGAUGGCCGACCGUAUGCUGGGGCAGUGCAGAAAUUUCUAGCUUCAGUACUUCCAGCCUGUGGGGACCUUAGUUUCCAGCAGGACCAAAUGACACAGACCUUUGGCUUCAGGGACUCAGAAAUCACGCAUCUGGUGAACGCUGGAGUCCUCACCGUCCGAGAUGCUGGGAGCUGGUGGCUAGCUGUGCCUGGAGCUGGGAGAUUCAUCAAAUACUUUGUUAAAGGGCGCCAGGCUGUCCUUGGCAUGGUCCGGAAGGCAAAGUACCGGGAGCUGCUCCUAUCAGAGCUCCUGGGCCGGCGGGCGCCUGUCGUGGUGCGGCUUGGCCUCACCUACCAUGUGCACGACCUCAUUGGGGCCCAGCUCGUGGACUGCAUCUCUACCACUUCGGGAACCCUCCUCCGCCUGCCAGAGACAUGAAGAUUCUGCUCAUCAUUGCUCAGCUCCUCAGAGUGGGCCGGGAGGGGACUAGAAGAGCUGCAUGAUGGUGGCUGAGACAGGGUCACCUUGGGAAGGCUUGGGAGCCAGGAUGAGUGUUGGGCUCUCGUGUGUGCAAAAGGUCAGAUGUGACUGCUGCUGUUUGCCUGGUUUCUGACCCAGUGGUGGGGUUUGAGCAAUGCUUCUCUGCCCUUCCAUGGAAAGUGGAACCAGAAAUGGUGCCAAGGCUGUGGCUGUUCCCUUUCGUGUAAAAUGGUGCUGUCUUGAAAUAGGAAGGUGGGAUUUCUGGGGAGGCUGGUGAAGGAGGGCAGGGUUCUUUUCCCUAUGCGUCAUGUUAAAAUUGCCAAAUAAAGUACCUCUGCCUGUGA